UACGGAGGGGGCUAGCGUUGUUCGGAAUUACUGGGCGUAAAGCGCACGUAGGCGGCUUUGUAAGUUAGAGGUGAAAGCCCGGGGCUCAACCCCGGAAUAGCCUUUAAGACUGCAUCGCUUGAACGUCGGAGAGGUGAGUGGAAUUCCGAGUGUAGAGGUGAAAUUCGUAGAUAUUCGGAAGAACACCAGUGGCGAAGGCGGCUCACUGGAUGACUGUUGACGCUGAGGUGCGAAAGCGUGGGGAGCAAACAGG
rnacentral:rRNA from 1 species